CUUCAUGGAGAAGGCCAUGUCCCAUGGAGUACUGAAGCACGAAUGAGAAUUUGUCUCAUGGACAAGAGUUGGGCUGAAGAGAGAAAGGAGGGCUGAGAGCCGGGUCUCGCCAAGAAUGUGUGCCCGCAGGUUGAUGGGACUUACGAGUAACUACAGAAGCCUGUUCUCUACCUCCCAUGAUCCUCACCUGCCAAGCCUGGAGGCCAGGAGGAGCUAGAGAAGACCCAGGAUGACGCAGGCAAAAGACAAACUCAGAUGCAUGGAUAUCUGGCCUUCAUCACAAAUCAGGCCUCCUCCCCUGCUGAUGGCUUGCAGGGGUGGAGCUGCCGCCAGGCAGGUGAGAACAGCUCUAAGCACGGCACUGUCCUUACAUGCCCUGGAAGGGCCAGGCCUUCCAGGCAGUGGAGCCCCUAAACUGGUAGCACAGACUCCUCUACCCAAGAUUUACUCACAGCCCUACUCCUCAAGGGUGAGAGUCUCCCAUGCUGGAGGUGCACACACGAAAAAACCCCACACAUACACACACACCCAUACAGAAAAACCCCAUACAGACACACACACAUACAAACAUACAAACACACAUACAUAUACACAUGCACACAUAUAUACAUGUAUGUGUAUAUACACACAUACAAACACACAUACAUAUACACAUGCACACAUAUAUACGUGUGUGUAUAUACA
rnacentral:lncRNA from 1 species